rnacentral:rRNA from 1 species
AUGCACGCUGGCGGCGUGCCUAAUACAUGCAAGUCGAGCGAACAGACGAGGAGCUUGCUCCUCUGACGUUAGCGGCGGACGGGUGAGUAACACGUAGAUAACCUACCUAUAAGACUGGGAUAACUUCGGGAAACCGGAGCUAAUACCGGAUAAUAUAUUGAACCGCAUGGUUCAAUAGUGAAAGACGGUUUUGCUGUCACUUAUAGAUGGAUCCGCGCCGCAUUAGCUAGUUGGUAAGGUAACGGCUUACCAAGGCGACGAUGCGUAGCCGACCUGAGAGGGUGAUCGGCCACACUGGAACUGAGACACGGUCCAGACUCCUACGGGAGGCAGCAGUAGGGAAUCUUCCGCAAUGGGCGAAAGCCUGACGGAGCAACGCCGCGUGAGUGAUGAAGGUCUUCGGAUCGUAAAACUCUGUUAUUAGGGAAGAACAAAUGUGUAAGUAACUAUGCACGUCUUGACGGUACCUAAUCAGAAAGCCACGGCUAACUACGUG